GCUGGGCAUGGUGGCACGUGUCUGUAAUCCCAGCUACUUGGGAGGCUGAGGCAGGAGAAUCGCUUGAACCCGGGAAGCGGAGGUUGCAGUGACCGAGAUAGAGCCACUGCACUUCAGCCUGGGUGACACAGCGAGACUCUGUCUCAA
ensembl:misc_RNA Metazoa_SRP Metazoan signal recognition particle RNA